UGCGUAGGUGGUGAGGUAAGUCGGAUGUGAAAUCUCCGGGCUCAACCCGGAAAUGGCAUUGGAAACUACCUUGCUGGAGGAUUUGAGGGGGGGAUUGGAAUACUUGGUGUAGCAGUGAAAUGCGUAGAUAUCAAGUGGAACACCAGUGGCGAAGGCGAAUCCCUGGAAAAUAACCUGACACUGAGGCACGAAAGCUAGGGGAGCAAACA
rnacentral:rRNA from 1 species